AAUUCGAAUCCCUGAACCAUUGGAAAUGGGGGACCUAAAUCACUCAUUAUAACAUCUGCUGACAAAUCUUCAAUUUUGGCUUUCUCUUUUGUAUCUCUUUCUUCUUCAAAGACUGACUGCAAGUAGGGAAUAGAAGCAGAAUUAUGAUCUUGUUGAUUUCGAAAAAAAGAGUUUCGACUACGAAUGGCUGCCUUAGCUAUUUCAAGCUGAAUUUCCAUACUUAGUAUAUUACCUUGAAUCAUACUGGAGUUUUCAGGGAGCCUACAAGGAAUUAUAUCACAUGCAAUAACUCUACCAAACAAACCAACAUGUCGAGCAGCUAUUGUACUCCAUAUUCCAGGUGCACAACCCUAAAUUGAUUAGUUGCGUAUAAAAAUUUGACCAUUUACCUACCAAAUCAACAACAAUCUGACCAGGUUUGAAAAGCUGAUGCUCUUUGUUUAUCUUAAUAGUUAGCAAUAAACAACUCCAUAGAAAAAUAUUAAUUGAACCUUGAAAAGUUCAGCAGAUAUACGGAAUAUGUACGACAGUUUCUUAGAUGCAGUAUGCUCCUAAGAAUACCUUGCAACGGACGUCUGUUGACAUUUCGACGGGACCCUUUUAACAAUUGAACUUACUUUCUCAAUGAAUUUUUCAUUUGCUGUCUCAGCUGACUUUCUCAGAGAUAUUAAAGUAUUCUUUUUUGUCUUUUUAGGAGGGUUGGAAUAAAAACGUAAUAAACAACUUGAAAAGAGAGAAUUGUUAAACCAAGAAGAACUUCUGGCUAUGGCCGAAUAAGCAGAGGAACUUCUACUCCAAAUUCUCAUAGACAUAUUAUUUUGUGGAAAGCAUUAUCUAACAUGAAUAGUCACUGAUAGUAAAUAUCAACAUAUAAUAAUUCAUGGGCAAUGUAAAAACUUGACUAGGAGAUUUUGAUAAAUUAGGAAAAAAAAGGUAUAAAAAAUUGUUGACCAGGUGAGUUUGUUAGUAAAGAAAUGCUUUUUGAUCGAGGAGACUAUGGUUGCGGAACAACGUAAAUAUAUACGAAAAUAUUAAAUGUCUGGCAAGAAUUAUAAACUAUUAUUAUGGAUCGACUGCAGGUAUAUUUGGAGUAAAU